GAACGCUGGCGGAAUGCUUUACACAUGCAAGUCGAACGGCAGCACGGACUUCGGUCUGGUGGCGAGUGGCGAACGGGUGAGUAAUAUAUCGGAACGUGCCCAGUCGUGGGGGAUAACGUAGUGAAAAUUACGCUAAUACCGCAUACGAUCUAAGGAUGAAAGCGGGGGAUCGCAAGACCUCGCGCGAUUGGAGCGGCCGAUAUCAGAUUAGGUAGUUGGUGAGGUAAAGGCUCACCAAGCCAACGAUCUGUAGCUGGUCUGAGAGGAUGGCCAGCCACACUGGAACUGAGACACGGUCCAGACUCCUACGGGAGGCAGCAGUGGGGAAUAUUGGACAAUGGGGGCAACCCUGAUCCAGCCAUGCCGCGUGUGUGAAGAAGGCCUUCGGGUUGUAAAGCACUUUAAGCGAGGAGGAAGGUUUUUAGUUUAAUACACUAAAGAAUUGACGUUACUCGCAGAAUAAGCACCGGCUAACUCUGUG
rnacentral:rRNA from 1 species